GACGGGUAGCGGGACUGAGAGGUUGGCCCGCCACAUCGGGACUGAGACACUGCCCGGACCUCCACGGAGGGCUGCAGUAACGAAUAUUGGGCAAUGGGCGAAAGCCUGACCCAGCAAUGCCGCGUGCAGGAUGAAGCCUUUCGGGGUGUAAACUGCUUUUGUAUGGGAAGAAACGUUGGUACGUGUACCAAUUUGCCGGUGCCAUACGAAUAAGGAUCGGCUAACUCCGUGCCAGCAGCCGCGGUAAUACGGAGGAUCCAAGCGUUAUCCGGAUUUAUUGGGUUUAAAGGGUGCGUAGGCGGUAGAAUAAGUCAGUGGUGAAAUCCUGCAGCUUAACUGUAGAACUGCCAUUGAUACUGUUUUACUUGAGUGUAAUUGAGGUAGGCGGAAUGUGUUGUGUAGCGGUGAAAUGCAUAGAUAUAACACAGAACACCGAUUGCGAAGGCAGCUUACUAAGUUAUAACUGACGCUGAUGCACGAAAGCGUGGGUAGCGAACAGGAUUAGAUACCCUGGUAGUCCACGCCGUAAACGAUGAUUACUCGCUGUAGGCAAUACACCGUCUGUGGCUGAGCGAAAGCAUUAAGUAAUCCACCUGGGGAGUACGUUGGCAACAAUGAAACUCAAAGGAAUUGACGGGGGCCCGCACAAGCGGAGGAACAUGUGGUUUAAUUCGAUGAUACGCGAGGAACCUUACCUGGACUUAAAUGUAGAUUGACGUAUCCAGAGGUGGAUAUUUCUUCGGACAAUUUACAAGGUGCUGCAUGGUUGUCGUCAGCUCGUGCCGUGAGGUGUCGGGUUAAGUCCCAUAACGAGCGCAACCCCUGUUGUUAGUUACCAGCACAUCAUGGUGGGGACUCUAACAAGACUGCCGGUGUAAACCGCGAGGAAGGUGGGGAUACGUCAAAUCAGCACGGCCCUUACGUCCAGGGCUACACACGUGUUACAAUGGCCGGUACAGAGGGCAGCUACUUGGUGACAAGAUGCGAAUCUCAAAAACCGGUCUCAGUUCGGAUCGAAGUCUGCAACCCGACUUCGUGAAGCUGGAUUCGCUAGUAAUCGCAUAUCAGCCAUGAUGCGGUGAAUACGUUCCCGGGCCUUGUACACACCGCCCGUCUAACCAUGGAAGUCGAGGGUACCUGAAGUCUGUUACCGUAAGGAGCGGCCUAGGGUAAAACUGAUAACUAGGGUUAAGUCGUAACAAGGUA
rnacentral:rRNA from 1 species